GGGGUUGUGGCUCAGUGAUAGAGCACUUGUCUUGCACAUGUGAGGCCACUUGUUCAAUUCUCAGCACCA
rnacentral:tRNA from 1 species